UACCCAACCAACCUGUAAUUUGAUUCUUGAAUGGAAUUGAGUCUUGAUAGGCUUAAUAACUAAGAAAUCAGUUUCAUCCAUUUUUUCGGUCCACAAUUUUGAAUCUCAUUUAUAUGUCAUGAAAAGGAAGAAAAUCAUCAAGUCAUGCUCUGGGAAUUCAAAAGAAGAAAGUGAAGGUCCAACCAAACUAGAUAGAUGGCAAUUAAUGUGUUCCCUUACAUGAUCUAUGAUUCUUGAUCCGUCUCUUACACUAUUCUUAUAUUGAAAGUGGAAAUUGUACCAUGUCCAUGUCUUGAUUAUCUGUUCCUCUACAAGGAAAAGUCAGUUCUGCUACAUGUCAAAGGCAUCCACUAGACCCAGUGUGAAAGGAAUAAGACUUCAUAAUCUCUCUCUGAAAAUCAAAAAUAAAGAAAAUCUACCAAGUCAUUGACAUUAUGUUUUUAUUAUCACAGCUUUUAGGGUUUUAAAAACUUCAAAAAGCAAGACAUAAUCAUUCCCACCAAGAUGGAUUUAGUUUUUGCACUGUCUAGGUUAAUUUGGUGCUGCUAUCUUCAAGAACCAAUCAAUGGAACAAGGUUUAGUGGGAGAAUAUGAUGGGAGCACCCAUCUUCCAAACCCUAGAAAUCAUGGGUUUCCAUUGGUUCCCUGGUCACUUUUCUUAUUCUUUGGUUUUAUACUUUCUAUAUAUUACUUCGACUUUAGUGGUUUUUUUAAUUCAACCAUGAAAUGAAUGAUACCUCUCAAAUAUCAUAUCAUCUCUACCUUUGGUUCUACUCCACCACCUUAUCCUUACCAAAUCCAUCUUCCUAAAGUAAACCAAUGUCAGGAACCAUCGAAGUUCCCGAAAACUGGAUAUGCAACAAGAAAAGUCAUGAUUUUUAUACGUAUUUAGGUCACAGGAUGGAUGGAUGGAUGGCUGGCUGGCUUUCUCUCCGCAUCUCUUUAUGUGACAACUUGUCAUUCGACUGUGAGGGCCCAUAUCUUGGAGGGAAAGUAUGUUGUGAGAGGACAAAGGAAGCAACGUCAUUUCCAAGAGAUGGACCAGCAGGGUUAAAUUGUUCUUAAUUGCGUCCAUAAUUCAUGCUUGGCUUUCUCCGCUAUCCAUCGCCUUCAAACCCCACGCAGGUGCAGGGAGAAGGGAUACAUCUUGAAGAAGCGAGCUACUUUUAUGACACUCCUUUCCAUUUCUUUACACCAGUGGGACCCAAACCCUAAUCAGAGAUUCAAAGAUUAAGAACACAGACAUGGGCCUAGAUACUGGGAUCCUAUUCCUGUGUCAGAUGGGGCAUACUGUGAAAAACUGACAAAUAAAAUAGGUGGGGUUGCGUUGUACCAUGACAAUUUUGAGAGUGCCAAUUUUGAUGGCAGGGAGUUGGCAUGCCAUGUGAGAUGAGCUAAUAGCUUGUCAUGAUAGCCUGUUAAGUCGUUGCCCUCUUGAGAUUGACAUGGCUAUGUUUUGUCAAAAAAUGAAACUACUCCCAACAUUUGAGAAUAGUUUUUUUUCAGAAUAAUUCCUCACCUUUUCUGAAGGUGAACAAAAUGCCAAUACAUCCUCUUCUUCCGGCCCUAUGGCUCCCAAAUUAUUCCCACUUGAAAUCUCCCUGUCACAUUGCUUGCCAACAGCAGAAGAAACCCUUUCCUUUCACUUUGAUUUUCUUUACCUCGAAGAAAUGGAAUUUUAAUUAGCUUAAAGAUUUCUAUCAAAAACACUAACAGUAACCUGUUCAAGAAUUUAAGUUAAAUAAUCUUGGCAAGGUCAAAGAACAGUAGCACAAUAAAACCUCAACAAAUUCCUGUGCAUUGCACGUUACAUCAGCAGAUUAAUUAAUACAUCAAUGCUUAUCAGGAGAGGUGAGACACAACUUUUCCUUCUAUAAAAAGGACAUGAUGCGUGGUGUAUGGAGGUUGAAUCUAAUAUCUUAC
rnacentral:lncRNA from 1 species